rnacentral:piRNA from 1 species
UGCUCGACUCCCAGCAUGCAUAUUUUGUUGU